rnacentral:rRNA from 1 species
CAGCAGCCGCGGUAAUACGUAGGGUGCGAGCGUUAAUCGGAAUUACUGGGCGUAAAGCGUGCGCAGGCGGUUCGUUAAGUCUGAUGUGAAAGCCCCGGGCUCAACCUGGGAAUGGCAUUGGAAACUGGCGGGCUGGAGUAUGGCAGAGGGGGGUGGAAUUCCACGUGUAGCAGUGAAAUGCGUAGAGAUGUGGAGGAACACCGAUGGCGAAGGCAGCCCCCUGGGCCAAUACUGACGCUCAGGCACGAAAGCGUGGGGAGCAAACAGGAUUAGAUACCCUGGUAGUCCACGCCCUAAACGAUGAUCACUGGGUGUUGGGGAAGCGAUUCCUUGGUACCGUAGCUAACGCGUGAAGUGAUCCGCCUGGGGAGUACGGUCGCAAGAUUAAAACUCAAAGGAAUUGACGGGGACCCGCACAAGCGGUGGAUGAUGUGGAUUAAUUCGAUGCAACGCGAACAACCUUACCUACCCUUGACAUGUCCGGAACCCUGCUGAGAGGAGGUGCAUGGCC